AGAGUUUGAUCAUGGCUCAGGACGAACGCUGGCGGCGGGCUUAACACAUGCAAGUCGUACGGGGCCUUCGGGCCCAGUGGCGCACGGGUGCGUAACGCGUAGGCAACCUGCCCUGGAGUGGGGAAUAACCCUCCGAAAGGAGAGCUAAUACCGCAUAUUGAGUGGGGCCGGCAUCGGCCCUGUUUGAAAGCUUUAUGCGCUCCGGGAUGGGCCUGCGUUGGAUUAGGUAGUUGGUGCGGUAACGGCGCACCAAGCCGACGAUCCAUAGCUGGUCUGAGAGGAUGAUCAGCCACACUGGCACUGAGACACGGGCCAGACUCCUACGGGAGGCAGCAGUGAGGAAUCUUGCGCAAUGGGGGAAACCCUGACGCAGCCACGCCGCGUGGAGGAUGACACCCCUCUGGGGCGUAAACUCCUUUUCUGCGGGAAGAACGCCAGGCUCGGCCUGGGAUGACGGUACCGCAGGAAUAAGCACCGGCUAACUCCGUGCCAGCAGCCGCGGUAAUACGGAGGGUGCAAGCGUUGUCCGGAUUUAUUGGGUGUAAAGGGUGUGUAGGCGGGCCCGCAAGUCAGGGGUGAAAGCCGGCGGCUCAACCGUCGGACUGCCUCUGAUACUGCGGGUCUUGAAUCCUGGAGGGGCCACUAGAAUUCGUGGUGUAGCGGUGAAAUGCGUAGAUAUCACGAGGAAUACCAGAGGCGUAGGCGGGUGGCUGGACAGGAAUUGACGCUGAGGCACGAAAGCGUGGGGAGCGAACAGGAUUAGAUACCCUCGUAGUCC
rnacentral:rRNA from 1 species